GACGAACGCGGCGGCGUGCCUAAUACAUGCAAGUCGAGCGAGCGGAACCAGCAGAUCUGCUUCGGCAGUGACGCUGGGAAAGCGAGCGGCGGAUGGGUGAGUAACACGUGGGGAACCUGCCCCAAAGUCUGGGAUACCACUUGGAAACAGGUGCUAAUACCGGAUAAGAAAGCAGAUCGCAUGAUCAGCUUUUAAAAGGCGGCGUAAGCUGUCGCUAUGGGAUGGCCCCGCGGUGCAUUAGCUAGUUGGUAGAGUAACGGCCUACCAAGGCAAUGAUGCAUAGCCGAGUUGAGAGACUGAUCGGCCACAUUGGGACUGAGACACGGCCCAAACUCCUACGGGAGGCAGCAGUAGGGAAUCUUCCACAAUGGACGCAAGUCUGAUGGAGCAACGCCGCGUGAGUGAAGAAGGUUUUCGGAUCGUAAAGCUCUGUUGUUGGUGAAGAAGGAUAGAGGUAGUAACUGGCCUUUAUUUGACG
rnacentral:rRNA from 1 species